CUUACCCGACCACUGUAUCUUAUGAUAGUAACACAGCAGCUGAGCAACUAAAGGCGACGGAAGACUUAGUUACAUUGUAUUUGACGCCUGAGGACGAUUUCACACAGUCACCCCCAUGGAGCAGAUACGUAUGUCCACACAAGCCUAAGAAGAGAUCUAGGAAGAGAUCUAUUGAGCCUGUGAAGCCAUACACGACCGGUCUC